AUGACCUAACUUGAACAAGAUCUGUUUUUAUAUGCGUGUACCUCUGUAUUCUUGAUUCCUAAAGAGACAAAAAACCCAUAUCUAGCUGAUGGACCAAGAUCAUGGAACUGGAGCGUGAUUAAUAGAGACUCGUGGUCUGGGGUAUGGCUCAGUGGUGGAUCGUUGCCACCCCAUCUGAUGGGUCUUGGCAUGGCUACAUGGUUUGUCUAACAGAUA